UGCAUCAAGUCACCAUUUGGUAAAAAUUUAAAAUAUGGAAAAAUUGCGUUCCUUAAACAGACUAGUCGAUAUUUCCGAGCCGAUAUUGGCGGAGGAUAGUACGUUCAACACGAUAGCAUUAUCGCUGAGCGCAGUUUUGGAACAAUUGAGCGAGAAUGCCACACAUCACGAUUAUCUUGUUGUCCUGCUGCUCGUACUGUUGGCGGAAUCCGGAUUUCACAUUAUAGUUGCUUCUGACACGUCGAAAUGGGAGCAAAAUGCAAGAUUAGUUCGUAUACCUGCGAAUUGGAAGUCGCGAGAAACCGGUGUGUACGAGAUACAUUUCACAUUGCGCGACGUAAAUAACGUUACGUCAAAAUUAAUCGGAAUAACUCAUGGUGAUAAACUGGUGAUCAAUAUAUUGUCGCACGUUGAAGAAAUGAAGGUUUACAGUAUGGUUAUACAGACAUUAAAAUAUGUGAAUCCAUAUACAAAGAAUUUGUGUUUUCGGUACAUGAAUCUCAAGGAAAUAUCGCGUAGGUUUAAGGAUGAAUUAAUCAUGCCUUUGCGUGCAGAAAUAUUAUUAUUAUCAAAUUUAAUGGGUCCUAGUUUGCAAAGUUUGCCGAUAGAAUUACGUAUAAAAAUCGCAAGUAUGCUACCUCAACAGGAACUUAGACAUUUAUCAAUAUGUUCUAAGAUACUUCAUGAAACUUGCAGAUCUAUUAUUUAAAAAAGGCUUUUGUUGGUGUGACAUAACAUCAUUGACAUGAUAAGACUAAAAAAAGGCUAAUCUGCCUAAAUGAUACAAUUGAGAGGGAUGAUUUUUAAAGCAACCUGUCUUUGUCACAUAACACUCAAAAGUUAACGAUGAAUCAAUCAUGCCUUUGCAAUGAAAUAUUACUGUCAAAUUUGAUGGAUCCUUUGGAAAUUCCACCAAUGAAUUAUGUAUAAUUGCAGAUGGACUGCUUGCAAAUGUACUUGCAUGUUUGCCAAUAUGGUCGGACUUCAUGAAUCUUGUUCAAAACUGUUUAAAAAGAAAAAAUUUUAUGUUUAAAAA